CCGGAAUUCAGGAGGGUAACCUGCAGA
rnacentral:sRNA from 1 species